UCGAGCGGAUUUUAUCCUUCGGGAUAAGUUAGCGGCGGACGGGUGAGUAACACGUAGGUAACCUGCCUAUAAGACUGGGAUAACUAUCGGAAACGAUAGCUAAGACCGGAUAACUGGUUUUCUCGCAUGAGAGAAUUAUGAAACACGGAGCAAUCUGUGGCUUAUAGAUGGGCCUGCGGCGCAUUAGCUAGUUGGUAGGGUAACGGCCUACCAAGGCGACGAUGCGUAGCCGACCUGAGAGGGUGAACGGCCACACUGGGACUGAGACACGGCCCAGACUCCUACGGGAGGCAGCAGUAGGGAAUCUUCCGCAAUGGACGCAAGUCUGACGGAGCAACGCCGCGUGAGUGAUGAAGGUUUUCGGAUCGUAAAGCUCUGUUGCCCUAGACGAACAGCAAGAAGAGUAACUGCCUUUUGUGUGACGGUAUAGGAGAAGAAAGCCCCGGCUAACUACGUGCCAGCAGCCGCGGUAAUACGUAGGGGGCAAGCGUUGUCCGGAAUUAUUGGGCGUAAAGCGCGCGCAGGCGGUCAAUUAAGUUGGGUGUUUAAGCCCGGGGCUCAACCCCGGUUCGCAUCCAAAACUGGUUGACUUGAGUGUAGGAGAGGAAAGUGGAAUUCCACGUGUAGCGGUGAAAUGCGUAGAGAUGUGGAGGAACACCAGUGGNCGAAGGCGACUUUCUGGCCUAUAACUGACGCUGAGGCGCGAAAGCGUGGGGAGCAAACAGGAUUAGAUACCCCUGGUAGUCCCA
rnacentral:rRNA from 1 species